rnacentral:misc_RNA from 1 species
UCCGUAGGUGAACCUGCGGAAGGAUCAUUACCGAGUUAGGGUCUACCUCUAGGCCCGACCUCCUUACCUCUGUUUACCUGACCUCACGUUGCUUCGGCGGGCCCGUCCCCUUAACCAGGCGACCGCGGAAGGGCUCACCCCUUCUGGCCCGUUGCCCGCCGAUGGCCCUCAACCAAAACACUUUUAAACUGUGGAAUUUUAGUCUGAAUCUUGUUUCUAAAAUAACCAAAAACUUUCAACAACGGAUCUCUUGGUUCUGGCAUCGAUGAAGAACGCAGCGAAAUGCGAUAAGUAAUGCGAAUUGCAGAGCCCGUGAGUCAUCGAAUCUUUGAACGCAUAUUGCGCCCCUUGGCAUUCCGAGGGGCAUGCCUGUUCGAGCGUCAUUAUCACCCCUCAAGCCCCCGGCUUGGUGUUGGACUCAGUCGUCGCUCGCCCGGUGACUGGUCUCGAAGACAGUGACGCCGUCCCAGAGGGAACCGGUACGAGGAGCUUUCUUAAUCGAAGCAUGUGCCGGGAAGACUUUCGCGGGCGGUGGUCUCUUACACCCACAAAUUUUUCAAGUGUUGACCUCGGAUCAGGUAGGAAUACCCGCUGAACUU